UUUUCGUCGCCACCUAUGGACGGCUGGUAAUGGAAAUGGGUAGUUGCAGCCUUAUUCCACUUGUGAUGUAGUUUGCUUUAAUGGGGUUUUUUUUACCGCCAUGAAGCAUGUACAGAUUAUGUAUUUUCCUCUAUUUAGUUGUGAAAACCAAGAUUUUCAAGCUGUGCUACCAUUCGCUCGUCUGUUCGACCUCACUAGAAGAAGACCAGCGAAAUAAUAACGGCCUAUCUUAACUUGACCUUAUUUGUUUAUUAUUGUGCUAAUUUCAAUUUUUGGCAAAAUCGU